rnacentral:lncRNA from 1 species
AAGAAAAUACUAAAUUAUAGUAGUUUAAAAAAAGAAGUCAAUCCUUCCCAAAGGAAUAAGAAUCGAAGUUCAACAGCAUACUUUAAAGGGAAAUUAGGGCACAUGCACAUAACAAAAAAGAAAUAAAGUGUAUGUCCAUAACAACAAUUAGGCUAGAGUAUUCUGUGUAUUUUAUGUGAUAUUACUUGUUUUAUCCUUUGAACAAUCUCAACUAUUGAUUUUUAUUUUUAUUUUUCUUUUGUUUUUUUUAUUUUCUUUUUUUCUUUGUCUUUUUUAUUUUUUUUUCCUCCAAAUUUUAUUUAUGUAUAUCUUUUGAAUCAAAUAUAAUUCAACCAAAUUAUUCUGUUACUAAAGAUAUACAUAUUUUUUUUUAUAUAUGGCAUAACUUAAAUUUUUUUAAACAAUAUCUGACAAAAAAUAUACUAUACUAUUAAUUAAAAUAAAAUAAUACAUUUCAUUAAACGUAUUUAAAACAAUAUGUUACUAAUACUUAUAGUAGUAUAUUAUUAUAUUUACGUAAAUAGUAUAAUUUUUUGGAGCUCCCUCCUCCUCUUCUACCUCCUUCCUUCUCCGAUUCUCCCUCCACCUCCUCCCUCCUCCUCUUCUUCUUCCUCUCUCCUGCCCUUGCUCUUACUUCUCAUCCCUCCUUCUCCCUCCACCUCCUCCUCCUUUUCCUCUCCUCUUCUUCCUUUGUUGCUCCUCC